rnacentral:SRP_RNA from 1 species
CUGUGCUAAGUGGGGAGCUAGCGGUGCCCUGAACCUGCAAUCCGCUACAGCAGGACUGAAUGCCGUCCGAGGCCGUGCCUUGGGAGGUUUGGAACAGAUAAGGAGUGUUGAUAACAAGGUCCCGUGCAACGUUGCACUGUGAACCAUGUCAGGACGGGAACGUAGCAGCAUUAAGCGGACCGUAGCGUGUGCCACGGGGAAACUUUGCAGUAGCCACCUGUCUGGAUACCGCUCCGGAGGUUUCUGUCGACGACGGAUGCACAG